rnacentral:rRNA from 1 species
AACCGGGAGGACAGGUGCUGCAUGGCUGUCGUCAGCUCGUGUCGUGAGAUGUUGGGUUAAGUCCCGCAACGAGCGCAACCCUUAUCUUUAAUUGCCAGCAUUCAGUUGGGCACUUUAAAGAGACUGCCGGUGUUAAACCGGAGGAAGGUGGGGAUGACGUCAAGUCCUUAUGGCCUUUAUGCUUAGGGCUACACACGUGCUACAAUGGGUGGUACAAAGAGAAGCCAACUCGCGAGAGCGCGCCAAUCUCAAAAAGCCAUCCUCAGUUCGGAUUGGAGUCUGCAACUCGACUGCGUGAAGUCGGAAUCGCUAGUAAUCGUGGAUCAGCAUGUCACGGUGAAUACGUUCCCGGGUCUU